GACGUAGGGCGCAAGCGUUGUCCGGAUUUAUUGGGCGUAAAGAGCUCGUAGGCGGCCUGUCGCGUCGACCGUGAAAACCCGCAGCUCAACUGUGGGCUUGCAGCUGAUACGGGCAGGCUUGAGUUCGGUAGGGGAGACUGGAAUUCCAGGUGUAGCGGUGAAAUGCGUAGAUAUCUGGAGGAACACCGGUGGCGAAGGCGGCAUCCUGGACCAACACUGACGCUGAGUGAGCGAAAGCCAGGGGAGCAAACGGG
rnacentral:rRNA from 1 species